rnacentral:rRNA from 1 species
GACAGAGGGGGCAAGCGUUGCUCGGAAUUACUGGGCGUAAAGGGCGCGUAGGCGGGAUGGCAAGUCGGUCGUGAGAUCCUUCGGCUCAACCGAAGAACGUCGAUCGAUACUGCUGUUCUUGAGGAUUGCAGAGGAGACUGGAAUUCCCGGUGUAGCGGUGAAAUGUGUAGAGAUCGGGAGGAACACCGGUGGCGAAGGCGGGUCUCUGGGCAAUUCCUGACGCUGAGGCGCGAAAGCGUGGGGAGCAAACGGG